UACGAAGGGUGCAAACGUUGCUCGGAAUUAUUGGGCGUAAAGCGCACGUAGGCGGCUUCGCAAGUCGGAUGUGAAAUCCCUCGGCUUAACCAAGGAAGUGCAUCCGAAACUGCAGAGCUUGAGUACUUAAGAGGAUCGCGGAAUUCCCGGUGUAGAGGUGAAAUUCGUAGAUAUCGGGAGGAACACCUGUGGCGAAAGCGGCUCACUGGACCACAACUGACGCUGAGGCGCGAAAGCUAGGGGAGCAAACAGGG
rnacentral:rRNA from 1 species